GGAGGGUACAGCUCAGUGGUAGAGUGCAUGCUUAGCAUGCCCGAAGUCCUGGGUUCAGUCCCCAGCCCCUCCA
rfam:Camelus ferus unplaced genomic scaffold scaffold803, whole genome shotgun sequence.